rnacentral:rRNA from 1 species
CGGUGUUCAACUGGCGUGUCCGCGGGACGUCCUGCCGGUGGGCUUAGCCCGCAAGGGCGGCCCAACUUCAAAUCCCAUCGCGGUGCUCUUCACUGAGUGUCGAGGUGGGCCGGCACGUUUACUUUGAACAAAUUAGAGUGCUUAAAGCAGGCUAAAACUUCGCCUGAAUACUGUGUGCAUGGAAUAAUGGAAUAGGACCUCGGUUCUAUUUUGUUGGUUUUCGGAACCCGGAGGUAAUGAUUAAUAGGAACGGAUGGGGGCAUUCGUAUUGCGACGUUAGAGGUGAAAUUCUUGGAUCGUCGCAAGACGGACAGAAGCGAAAGCAUUUGCCAAAAACGCUUUCAUUGAUCAAGAACGAAAGUUAGAGGUUCGAAGGCGAUCAGAUACCGCCCUAGUUCUAACCAUAAACGAUGCCAGCUAGCGAUCCGUCGACGUUCCUCCGAUGACUCGACGGGCAGCUUCCGGGAAACCAAAGCUUUUGGGUUCCGGGGGAAGUAUGGUUGCAAAGCUGAAACUUAAAGGAAUUGACGGAAGGGCACCACCAGGAGUGGAGCCUGCGGCUUAAUUUGACUCAACACGGGAAACCUCACCAGGCCCAGACACCGGAAGGAUUGACAGAUUGAGAGCUCUUUCUUGAUUCGGUGGGUGGUGGUGCAUGGCCGUUCUUAGUUGGUGGAGCGAUUUGUCUGGUUAAUUCCGAUAACGAACGAGACUCUAGCCUGCUAACUAGGCGUAUUUUCGACAUCUCAAAGGUCCGUCGUCCCGGCCCUCGGGUCGUGGGCGUGCGCGAUUUUUACUGUCGGCGUACUAUCAAUUCUUCUUAGAGGGACAGGUGGCUUCUAGCCGCACGAGAUUGAGCAAUAACAGGUCUGUGAUG